GUAAGAGAAAGACCAGAUGCUAGACUUAGUGUUCUUUUUUCUGAUGAGGUGCUCCUCCUGUUUUAUCCCCAAGACUUGUGAUUGCUGAGACAAGAGAAGAUAUCGAGAGUACUGGUCAACCUUGGAAUUUGAGUCUCAGGAUAUGGCGGCCUGCAGUUUGUGAUUCGUAAGGAGAGGCCAGGGGUGACCCAGAUGCGGUUGGACAUAUGAGAAUCCCUGGUACUAGAACAGACGAGACCUGGAGAUCAACGCUAGUAGCUUGUGAUCAACUAGUUGGGGUUCCUGUAUGAACAACUAGUUGGGAUUCCUGUGUGAACAACUGGUUGGGGUUCCUGUGUGAACAACUGGUUGGCCUUCCUGUGUGAUCAACUAGUUGGAGGGUGGUGUCGCCAACUUCACAGCCUAGUUGCUAAUUUUACAUGAUGGCCAUUCAGAUAGGCAGGAACUCUUCCCUCCUUUGAAUCAUCCUUCCUUCCACAUCACCCUACGUCCAUAACAAAGUGUCUGGAGCCCAGAACCCAACCACUCAAGUUUAUAACUCUCCUACACAUACUUCCUAGCUACAUGAUUUGGGGCAAGUUAUAAUCUCUCUGUACUUCAGUUUCCUCAUUGGUAAGAUGGAAUUAGUAACAAUGGUUACUUUAUAGGGUUGUUGCAAAGGUUCAUCAAGUUAUUACAUCAUAUGAAGUAGUUAGAAUGGUGCACCCAUUACGUACUCAACAAAUGUUAGCUAUUCUUUUUAUUACUAUUCUCUCCAAGUAACCACAUCUACAUGUUCUAGCAUUACCUGUUUAGUGAGCUGUUUAAGGUGUGGGUUACCAACUCUACCCAUAUUAAAAACAUCUGUGGUAUACACACCUACUUUCACAUCUACCAACAUGUCAAACCAGAUUUACCUUAUGGUUCUUUUGGCCUCCAAGUCAAUGAGGUCCUGUGUGUGUCCGUCAUCUGGCAAGAUCGUUGUCCUCACGUUGUCUGAAUUCUAAGACAGCACCUUCACUGGUGCCUGAUGGACCCACCCCUUACCUGGAGACAGGGCUGUUUCCUUACCUCUCAGCCUUGGAAUUGCUCUCUCACCUCUGGUUUGCUUGACAUUUUGAUCAGAAAUAGGGGAAAAUCAACUCUGUGAGAUGAAAAGAAUGGUUGUAUUUUAAAGUCUAGAGGGGCACUGCCUCUGACGGCAUAAGUAACUGCCAUCUAGGGCUUGAGAAAACAUGUCAUAGCUGCGCCAAACCCAUCUUAGGCUUUGAAUGAAAGCCCAAAAUGUUUUCUGUUCUUAGCAUAAGCUAGAAGAGCUAUUUCUGGCAUUCCUUCUCUCUCUCUCUACUGCUCUACACUGGAUAGUCUUACUCUUGCUGGCACUAGGAUAAACAUAACCAAAUGGGGUCAUUACUUCUAACCUCCUUGGACACUGGAUUCGGACUACCCCAAGGGCACUAGGCAUCGGUCCGUCUCUGAAGCGGGCUGCACUUUGGGCACUUUUAUGUUGUGGUUGAAUCAGCCAUGACCUCCCUCCUGCACUGAGCUCAGGAUGCUGGGCCCUGUUAUGGGGCGGGGGUGAGUACAGAGUGUGCCUGGAUGGAAUCUUUAUGUCCCUCUCAACUGGAGAUGGCACGACUCUGACCACGUGUCUGCUCCGAGAGGCAUUGUCAGGAACCGUGUUGCAUUGUUCUCCCACCAGAAAGGCCGGAUGGCUGAACUAGGGCAGGCAUGUGUGGGGUUGGAGCUGUCCUUGCUCUGCAAACAGCCCCCAGCCUUGGGUCAACACUUUCGAUUGGGAGCUGUCUGCCAGUCAAAGUGUGGUCCAGUGUCCACCAGUGCACAGAACAAGGACCACAAGGCCAUCUUUCCCGAGCAGUGGCAAAGCCUGCCCCGUGGAGGAGGGAGCCCCGUGACCAGAGGGAGGAUGACUGACGGCUGGGAGAUGACCAUUCAGAGAGGUUGUAUCACACCCUCGCAGUGGGAAGGAAGUGCAACGACCUCAUUGCCAACAGCUUCCAGGAUAUUUUUUUCAUGAUAAGUUAUUCUUGAACAGACAAGACAUAGGGGAU
rnacentral:lncRNA from 1 species